GACGAACGCUGGCGGCGUGCCUAAUACAUGCCAGUAGAACGCUGAAGGAGGAGCUUGCUCUUCUGGAUGAGUUGCGAACGGGUGAGUAACGCGUAGGUAACCUGCCUGGUAGCGGGGGAUAACUAUUGGAAACGCUAGCUAAUACCGCAUAACAGUAGAUGUUGCAUGACAUUUGCUUAAAAGGUGCAAUUGCACCACUACCAGAUGGACCUGCGUUGUAUUAGGUAGUUGGUGGGGUAACGGCUCACCAAGGCGACGAUACAUAGCCGGCCUGAGAGGGGGGUCGGCCAAACUGGGACUGAGACACGGCCCAGACUCCUACGGGAGGCAGCAGUAGGGAAUCCUCGGCAAUGGACGGAAGGCUGACCGAGCAACGCCGCGGGAGGGAAGGAGGGUUUCGGAUCGGAAAGCUCUGUUGUAAGAGAAGAAAGAGUGUGAGAGUGGAAAGUGCACACUGUGACGGUAUCUUACCAGAAAGGGACGGCUAACUACGUG
rnacentral:rRNA from 1 species